rnacentral:rRNA from 1 species
ACGGUCCUAAGGUAGCGAAAUUCCUUGUCGGGUAAGUUCCGACCUGCACGAAUGGCGUAAUGAUGGCCAGGCUGUCUCCACCCGAGACUCAGUGAAAUUGAACUCGCUGUGAAGAUGCAGUGUACCCGCGGCAAGACGGAAAGACCCCGUGAACCUUUACUAUAGCUUGACACUGAACAUUGAGCCUUGAUGUGUAGGAUAGGUGGGAGGCUUUGAAGCGUGGACGCCAGUCUGCGUGGAGCCAACCUUGAAAUACCACCCUUUAAUGUUUGAUGUUCUAACGUAGGCCCCUGACCGGGGUUGCGGACAGUGUCUGGUGGGUAGUUUGACUGGGGCGGUCUCCUCCCAAAGAGUAACGGAGGAGCACGAAGGUUAGCUAAUCCUGGUCGGACAUCAGGAGGUUAGUGCAAUGGCAUAAGCUAGCUUGACUGCGAGCGUGACGGCGCGAGCAGGUGCGAAAGCAGGUCAUAGUGAUCCGGUGGUUCUGAAUGGAAGGGCCAUCGCUCAACGGAUAAAAGGUACUCCGGGGAUAACAGGCUGAUACCGCCCAAGAGUUCAUAUCGACGGCGGUGUUUGGCACCUCGAUGUCGGCUCAUCACAUCCUGGGGCUGAAGUAGGUCCCAAGGGUAUGGCUGUUCGCCAUUUAAAGUGGUACGCGAGCUGGGUUCAGAACGUCGUGAGACAGUUCGGUCCCUAUCUGCCGUGGGCGCUGGAGAAUUGAGGGGGGCUGCUCCUAGUACGAGAGGACCGGAGUGGACGCAUCACUGGUGUUCGGGUUGUCAUGCCAAUGGCACUGCCCGGUAGCUAAAUGCGGAAGAGAUAAGUGCUGAAAGCAUCUAAGCACGAAACUUGCCCCGAGAUGAGUUCUCCCUGAGACUUUGAGUCUCCUGAAGGAACGUUGAAGACGACGACGUUGAUAGGCCGGGUGUGUAAGCGCAGCGAUGCGUUGAGCUAACCGGUACUAAUGAACCGUGAGGCUUAACCUU